rnacentral:rRNA from 1 species
UGGGGAAUCUUCCGCAAUGGACGAAAGUCUGACGGAGCAACGCCGCGUGAGUGAAGAAGGUUUUCGGAUCGUAAAACUCUGUCUUUUGGGGCGAACGUGAGUAUGGUGAACAAUCAUAGUCAGUGACGGUACCAAAGGAGGAAGCCACGGCUAACUACGUGCCAGCAGCCGCGGUAAUACGUAGGUGGCAAGCGUUGUCCGGAAUUAUUGGGCGUAAAGAGCGCGUAGGCGGGAUAGUCAGUCUGUUGUAAAAGUGCGGGGCUCAACCCCGUGAUGGCAAUGGAAACAGCUAUUCUUGAGUGCAGGAGAGGAAAGUGGAAUUCCCAGUGUAGCGGUGAAAUGCGUAGAUAUUGGGAGGAACACCAGUGGCGAAGGCGACUUUCUGGACUGUGUCUGACGCUGAGGCGCGAAAGCCAGGGGAGCGAACGGGAUUAGAUACCCCGGUAGUCCUGGCCGUAAACGAUGGGUACUAGGUGUGGGAGGUAUCGACCCCUUCCGUGCCGCAGUUAACACAAUAAGCACUCCGCCUGGGGAGUACGGCCGCAAGGUUGAAACUC